UAGGUCGACCCGCUGAAUUUAAGCAUAUCACUAAGCGGAGGAAAAGAAACUAACAAGGAUUCCCUUAGUAACUGCGAGUGAACAGGGAUGAGCCCAGCACCGAAGCCUGUGACCAUUUGGUUACUAGGCAAUGUGGUGUUUAGGUUGAAUUUCGGGACCACUGCUCCACUCUAAGUCCAGGAAUGAGUACGGUAGUACGGACAUGGCCCACAGAGGGUGAAAGGCCCGUGGGGGUGGAGAUUUCGGCAGGCCAGUGGUUUCCUAAUUUGACCUUGGAGUCGGGUUGUUUGUGAAUGCAGCCCAAAGUGGGUGGUAAACUCCAUCCAAGGCUCAAUACUAACACGAGUCCGAUAGCGAACAAGUACCGUGAGGGAAAGUUGAAAAGUACUUUGAAGAGAGAGUAAACAGUACGUGAAACUGCUCAGAGGUAAACGGGUGGAGUUGAACUGCAAGCCUGAGAGAUUCAGCUGGUGAGCGUGGUAUGAGCUUGGUCAUUACGGUCGGCUUUGAGAGUCUGCAUAACCGCAGGUCCCUUCCUUUGGUUGGGAUGUACGACGCACUUAUCAAGUGCUGUACUCUCUUGAAGUUCGCGGGCCAGCUUGCCAGUGCACUUCUCUCGGGUCUUCACCACGACCGGCGCUGCCGCCUAUCUACUGUGGUCAAACCGGUGAGGUAUUGCCUUUGUGGCUUUAUUUCGUCGGGAUGGCAGGUAGUUCGUUAGCCUGUGGUUUGGCUUCGGCUGGGUCACGCUUGGCUUGCGGAUGUAAUAGCUGACCAUAGUGGAACUGUGCGGUGCGUCGGAGACGGCGGCUACUGGUGUGUGCAUAUGUGCUAGUUAUGCUGUCAAAGCUGGAUCUGAUCGUCAUGUUGUCUGUUCAAGCAGGCCUGAUGGUGGUUCGGUUUUGUGCAGUGGGCAGUUGCGUAUGUGUCACUGAUCUAGAGCCAAUAGUCUGUGGUGUAGUGGUAGACUCUCUAUCCGACCCGUCUUGAAACACGGACCAAGGAGUUUAAUAUGUGCGCGAGUCAUUGAGUUCUUGAAGCUCAAAGGCGUAGUGAAAGUAAAUGUUCGGUUUCGUCCGGACUGAGGUGAGAUCCUGCCAUAUCUCAUGCGCGUACUAUCAGGCUAUUGUGUGGCAGGCGCAUCACCGGCCCGUCCCAUGGUGUGGUCUCGUCUUUUCGGAGGCGUGUAUCAUCGGGGCGGAGCAUGAGCGCACAUAUUGAGACCCGAAAGAUGGUGAACUAUGCUUGCGUAGGUUGAAGCCAGAGGAAACUCUGGUGGAGGACCGCAGCGAUUCUGACGUGCAAAUCGAUCGUCAAACGUGAGUAUAGGGGCGAAAGACUAAUCGAACCAUCUAGUAGCUGGUUCCCUCCGAAGUUUCCCUCAGGAAGCUUCUAAAGG
rnacentral:rRNA from 1 species